rnacentral:lncRNA from 1 species
AUAGAAGUAGCUGCAAAACUUCAGUGGUCUCUUCCUUGCAUAAGACCCUCAUGAGCUCAGUUUCCCUGCCCAGCCAGAUAGCUCCUUCUUGCUGUCUGUACUGAGGCCCCUCUGGCUUCUUUAACUUCCUCCCGGUUCAAAUCUACAUAUUUAUUUAUGCAGAAAAAUUUAUUGACCAACUAGAGCUGGACGCUCUGUUCAUCAGGGUCCUUCCAGUGAGAAGGCCGGAUUCUGUCUCCCUACAGGGGCAAAAUCAGGAAUAAGAUCCAUCCAUUGUGCACAAGGCCAGCUUGGGCACGUCUCUCGCUGUUGUGAAAGUCCCAGCUCUCCUAAUUCAGCCUCCUAAGGAUUUUUCGCAUUGCUGCUAAGGCUCUGCACGGGCUUAUCCACGGUCCUCUGGCGUCCCCUGCUGGUAAUUUUAUAGAAUUGUAGGCAGUUUUUCUAACACCCUCACAAAGAUCAGCUGAGUUAAGAUGCCUCUCACCUAAUAAGAAAAAGAGAAAAGGAGAUGAGAAGUGGGGACUGGCAAUUAGCGAGAAUACUGGGAGGCAAAAAUGUAACACCAGCAAAGAGGCAUCGACUGCAGCUAUUCGAUACAUGGCAUAGUGGAUACAAUGCAGAUUCUGAAUCUCUGUUCACUACUUCCUGGCUGAGUGAGCCCAGGUAAGUCACUUCACCUCUCUGUGCUUGAAUUUCUUCAUCUAUAAUAAUUCUACCUACAUCACUUGUUGCUGUGAGGUUUAAAUGAGCUAGUCUGUUUUAACCAGUACCUGGCACAUCAAAAUACAAUUUGGUUAUUACUGCUGUUGGCAUUGUGCUAGGCAGCAUAAAUAUAUUCUCUCUAAUCCUCACCACGACCCUGGAAGUAGGCAUUACUGGUCCUGCUUUGCAAAUGAGGAAUAAGGUUCAGAGAGGGUGACUGACUGACCCAAGGUCACACAGCAUGAAGUGUCAGAGAUGGGAUUUGGACUCGGGUCUCUCUACCGCCUAUGUUUCUUCUCUCUCCAGGGCUCCAUGUCAUCAUCACGGAUGAGUUACUUCAUGGCUCUGACUUUCCAGGGCUCCCCUCGGAAGUGGAAUGGAAGAGGACAACUGGAGAGAUGAUGAUGAUGGAUGAUGAUGCUUACUUCAAGAGAAAAGCCAGGAGGGGUAGGCAGGCACAGCCCAUGGUUGAAGAGGAGGAUUUUCCACUGAUUUCAAAGCAGAAACUAGACUUGGACAUGACCUUGGAGAAGCACAGCCCCUUCUCCUCCAAGAUGGUGCCUAUGAAGAUCACCCUGCCUGGGUCCUCACUGAGCAUCACAGCCAGCCCCAGUGAAAGCGGCCCUGGAAUUUGAGCCUCCAGAGCCUGGCAUGAGACACCUCGUUGACUUGUCUUCUCAGAGUAAAUUUAGCUUUUUCCC